rnacentral:rRNA from 1 species
UGGGGAAUAUUGGACAAUGGGCGCAAGCCUGAUCCAGCCAUGCCGCGUGUGUGAAGAAGGCCUUUUGGUUGUAAAGCACUUUAAGCGAGGAGGAGGCUACUUGGAUUAAUACUCUAGGAUAGUGGACGUUACUCGCAGAAUAAGCACCGGCUAACUCUGUGCCAGCAGCCGCGGUAAUACAGAGGGUGCGAGCGUUAAUCGGAUUUACUGGGCGUAAAGCGUGCGUAAGCGGCUUCUUAAGUCGGAUGUGAAAUCCCUGAGCUUAACUUAGGAAUUGCAUUCGAUACUGGGAAGCUAGAGUAUGGGAGAGGAUGGUAGAAUUCCAGGUGUAGCGGUGAAAUGCGUAGAGAUCUGGAGGAAUACCGAUGGCGAAGGCAGCCAUCUGGCCUAAUACUGACGCUGAGGUACGAAAGCAUGGGGAGCAAACAGG